AGCGAACGCUGGCGGCAGGCCUAACACAUGCAAGUCGAACGAACCUUUCGGGGUUAGUGGCGGACGGGUGAGUAACACGUGGGGACGUGCCUUUAGGUUCGGAAUAACUCAGGGAAACUUGUGCUAAUACCGAAUGUGCCCUUCGGGGGAAAGAUUAAUCGCCUUUAGAGCGGCCCGCGUCUGAUUAGCUAGUUGGUUGAGGUAAUGGCUCACCAAGGCGACGAUCAGUAGCUGGUCUGAGAGGAUGAUCAGCCACAUUGGGACUGAGACACGGCCCAAACUCCUACGGGAGGCAGCAGUGGGGAAUCUUGCGCAAUGGGCGAAAGCCUGACGCAGCCAUGCCGCGUGAAUGAUGAAGGUCUUAGGAUUGUAAAAUUCUUUCACCGGGGACGAUAAUGACGGUACCCGGAGAAGAAGCCCCGGCUAACUUCGUG
rnacentral:rRNA from 1 species